rnacentral:ncRNA from 1 species
CCCGCUGAGUUUAAGCAUAUCAAUAAACAGAGGAAAAGAAAUUUACAAGGAUUCCCCUAGUAACGGCGAGCGAACGGGGAACAACCCCAGCCGUAGAAUCGGGCGGCUCCGUCGUCCGAAUUGUAGUUUAGAGAAGCGUACUCAGCGGCGGACCAAGCCUAAGUCCCCUAGAAGGGGGCGCCAGAGAGGGUGAGAUCCCCGUCGUUCCCGGACCCUAUCGCACCACGAGGUGCUGUCUACGAGUCGGGUUGUUUGGGAAUGCAACCCAAAUCGGGCGGUGAAUUCCGUCCAAGGCUAAAUACUGGUGAAAUACCGAUAGCAAACAAGUACCGCUAGGAAAAGAUGAAAAGGACUUUGAAAAGAGUGUUCAAAGAGUGCUAGAAAUUGUCGGGAGGGAAGCGGAUGCGGGCCGACGAUGCGUCCUGAUCGGAUGACAGAGUCAAUCAAGAAAUUUUCUAGGUUCCUCAACCUUCGAACAGAGUAAGUAUUUAAGUUUUUCUUGACAUCAAAGUUGGUUACCUUUUGCAUCAUUUUCAUUGUUAGAUUUCUCCAUGAGAGAAAACAACCCAUGAAAAACAUUUGUAUCGUCUUGAACAAACACAA